UACGUAGGGUGCAAGCGUUGUCCGGAAUUAUUGGGCGUAAAGAGCUCGUAGGCGGUUUGUCGCGUCGAAUGUGAAAUCCCGGGGCUCAACCCCGGGUCUGCAUUCGAUACGGGCAGACUAGAGUUCGGUAGGGGAGUCUGGAAUUCCUGGUGUAGCGGUGAAAUGCGCAGAUAUCAGGAGGAACACCAGCGGCGAAGGCGCUGCUCUGGGCCGGUACUGACGCUGAGGAGCGAAAGCGUGGGGAGCGAACAGG
rnacentral:rRNA from 1 species